GGGUGUGUGAGGGGUACUGGCUGACCUAGAGGCCAAAAUGGAUAAGCUGUUCGCCAGGUUUUGGAGGAAGAUGGCAAUCCGGGAGCAAAAGGCUAAAGCACACAUUAUCGCCACCAUGGCACCGGUGUACCCCAAGCGCGAACACACGCCUCCUCGGGUAAACCAAGCCUGCACACGGCGCUGGGGUCGGCGAACUAGAAGAGCCCGAAAGCCCAAACGACUUUUAAUGCGGUUGGAAGCCAAUCCAAGUGCCUGGUGAACCUGAACCUACCCGAGAGGCAGCAGCGGCACACGGUGCCAAUUAAGGACCAAACACGGCCGUGGGCUCCCGGGCAAACUACACGGAACUCCCCAGCCGAUGCCAUCAAACAUCAGAC